GAGGUGUGUUAUGAUGUUAUGAGGUGUGUUAUGAGGUUAUGAGGUUAUGAGGUGUGUUAUGAGGUUAUGGGGUGUGUUAUGAGGUGUUUUAUGAGGUGAUGAUGUUAUGAUGUUAUGAGGUGUGUUAUGAUGUGUGUUAUGAGGAGAUUAUGUUAUGAUGUGUGUUGUGAGGUUAUGGGUGUGUUAUAACCACUUCCAAAACUGAAUGCACAAUACACAAUAAAACUCACAACAUUUAACAACACACACAUAUUCUCAUCCAGAGCUCUCUCUUCCCUCCUCCUCUCUCUCACUCUUCUCUCCCCCUCUCUCUCUUUUCUCCUCCUCUCUCUCACACUCUUCUCUCCACCUCUUGCUCUCUUUCACUCUCUUUCUCCUCCUCUCUCUCCCUCUCUUCUAUCAUCCUCCCUCUCUCUCCUUCCCUUCCCCCCUCCCCUCUCUCUCUCUCUCUUCUGUCCUCCUCUCUCUCCCUCCAUUCUCCCUCCUCUCUCUCUCUCCCUCUGUUCUAUCCUUC
ensembl:lncRNA